GCUGGACGCAGUGAUGCAUGCCUGUAAUCCCAGAGGCUUGGGAGGCUGAGGCAGGAGGAUCGCGUUCAAAGCCAGCCUCAGCAACUUAAUGAGGCCCUAAGUAACUCAGCGAGACCCUGUCUCUA
rnacentral:sRNA from 1 species